AACUUUACAUGCAGGAACUGUGAUAAGGGAACCCCGAGUGCCCGUAUACGCGGGCUGUCCAGGUGUUUAAAACGCAUCUGAAGAAAGGGCCGGGCAAGACCGGUGCCAGCCGCCGCGGUAAUACCGGCGGCUCGAGUGGUGGCCACUUUUAUUGGGCUUAAAGCGUCCGUAGCUGGACCCUUAAGUCUCUUGGGAAAUCCGCCGGCUUAACCGGCGGGCGUCUAAGAGAUACUGGGGGUCUAGGGACCGGGAGAGGUGAGAGGUACUCCGGGGGUAGGAGUGAAAUCCUGUAAUCCCCGGGGGACCACCUAUGGCGAAGGCAUCUCACCAGAACGGCUCCGACAGUGAGGGACGAAAGCUGGGGGAGCGAACCGGAUUAGAUACCCGGGUAGUCCCAGCCGUAAACUAUGCGCGUUAGGUGUACUGGUGACCACGAGUCACCGGGGUGCCGAAGGGAAACCGUGAAACGUGCCGCCUGGGAAGUACGGUCGCAAGGCUGAAACUUAAAGGAAUUGGCGGGGGAGCAC
rnacentral:rRNA from 1 species